UACGUAGGGGCCAAGCGUUGUCCGGAUUUAUUGGGCGUAAAGAGCUUGUAGGCGGUUUGUCGCGUCUGCCGUGAAAAUCCGGGCUCAACCCCGGACUUGCGGUGGGUACGGGCAGACUAGAGUGUGGUAGGGGAGACUGGAAUUCCUGGUGUAGCGGUGAAAUGCGCAGAUAUCAGGAGGAACACCGAUGGCGAAGGCAGGUCUCUGGCCACUACUGACGCUGAGAAGCGAAGCGUGGGAGCGAACAGG
rnacentral:rRNA from 1 species